AGUGAACGCUAGUGGCGUGCUUAACACAUGCAAGUCGAACGGACGAUAUUUGUGCUUGCACAAAUAAAGUUAGUGGCAAACGGGUGAGUAACGCGUGAGAAUCUGCCCUCAGGAGGGGGACAACAGCUGGAAACGGCUGCUAAUACCCCAUAUGCCGCGAGGUGAAAUGAAUUUCGCCUGAGGAUGAGCUCGCGUCUGAUUAGCUAGUUGGUGUAGGUAAUGGCUCACCAAGGCAUCGAUCAGUAGCUGGUCUGAGAGGAUGAUCAGCCACACUGGGACUGAGACACGGCCCAGACUCCUACGGGAGGCAGCAGUGGGGAAUUUUCCGCAAUGGGCGAAAGCCUGACGGAGCAACGCCGCGUGAGGGAUGAAGGCCUCUGGGCUGUAAACCUCUUUUAUCAAGGAAGAAGAUCUGACGGUACUUGAUGAAUAAGCCACGGCUAAUUCCGUGCCAGCCGCCGCCGUAACAC
rnacentral:rRNA from 1 species